GACAGAGGGUGCAAACGUUGUUCGGAAUUACUGGGCGUAACGCGCGCGUAGGCGGCUUUGCAAGUCGGGUGUGAAAUCCCCAGGCUUAACCUGGGAACUGCAUUCGAGACUGCAUUGCUAGAGUAUGGGAGAGGGAAGUGGAAUUUCCGGUGUAGCGGUGAAAUGCGUAGAUAUCGGAAGGAACAUCAGUGGCGAAAGCGACUUCCUGGACCAAUACUGACGCUCAUGUGCGAAAGCGUGGGGAGCAAACAGG
rnacentral:rRNA from 1 species